GGUCUGAGUAUUUUUCUUUCAUAAGCAACAAAUAAAAGAAAACUUUAGACAAUUAUUUUUAUGAACACAGAUAUAAAAAUCCUAAUAAAAGU
rnacentral:miRNA from 1 species